rnacentral:rRNA from 1 species
GAUGAACGCUGGCGGCGUGCUUAACACAUGCAAGUCGAACGAAGCACUUUAACCUGAUUCUUCGGAUGAAGGUUUUUGUGACUGAGUGGCGGACGGGUGAGUAACGCGUGGGUAACCUGCCUCAUACAGGGGGAUAACAGUUAGAAAUGACUGCUAAUACCGCAUAAGACCACAGAGCCGCAUGGCUCGGUGGGAAAAACUCCGGUGGUAUGAGAUGGACCCGCGUCUGAUUAGGUAGUUGGUGGGGUAACGGCCUACCAAGCCAACGAUCAGUAGCCGACCUGGGAGGGUGACCGGCAACAUUGGGACUGAGACACGGACCAAACUCCUACGGGAGGAAGCAGUGGGGAAUAUUGCACAAUGGGGGAAACCCUGAUGCAGCGACGCCGCGUGAGCGAAGAAGUAUUUCGGUAUGUAAAGCUCUAUCAGCAGGGAAGAAAAUGACGGUACCUGACUAAGAAGCACCGGCUAAAUACGUG